CACGUAGGGGGCAAGCGUUGUCCGGAUUUAUUGGGCGUAAAGAGCUCGUAGGCGGCUCAGUUAGUCGGGUGUGAAACCCCCGGGCUCAACCCGGGGACGCCACCCGAUACUGCUGUGGCUAGAGUCCGGUAGGGGAGCGUGGAAUUCCUGGUGUAGCGGUGAAAUGCAUAGAUAUCAGGAGGAACACCAGCGGCGAAGGCGGCACUCUGGGCUGGAACUGACGCUGAGGCGCGAAAGCGUGGGGAGCGAACAGG
rnacentral:rRNA from 1 species